rnacentral:rRNA from 1 species
GACAGAGGGGGCGAGCGUUGUCCGGAGUCACUGGGCGUAAAGCGCGCGCAGGCGGUGACCUAAGUGUCGUGUGAAAGCCCCCGGCUCAACCGGGGGAGGCCAUGGCAAACUGGGUCGCUCGAGCUGCGGAGAGGCCCCUCGAAUUGCAGGUGUAGCGGUGAAAUGCGUAGAGAUCGGCAGGAAGACCAAGGGGGAAGCCAGGGGGCUGGCCGCAGGCUGACGCUGAGGCGAGACAGCGUGGGGAGCAAACCGG